UUAUUCUUAGUUGAUGCUGUUAUCGAAAACGACCAUUCCACAAAUCAGUAGAGAGCGAAAAGAAUGCGUCAGCUUUUCAAGGUGAGACUGGCAAUGUGACAGCUACUGCCUGCCCUUGGGGAGUGGGCACUAUCCAGGGAAAGGGAAAAAGCCUGGAAGCAUGAAGAAACUACAUAAAAUACAGUCUAUGGAUCAAAGGCUUCAGUUCCAGUGCUAUGCAGAUACCGCCCUCAAAUCGGGG